rnacentral:rRNA from 1 species
UGCAGUCGAUGUUUAUUUUAAUAAGCAUGGCGAACGGGUGAGUAACGCGUGAAUUAUCUACCUUUUAAUUCAGAAUAAUUAUUUUAUAUAAAAAUACUGAAUAAUUAAAAUAAAGUUUAUAUAACGUUAAAAGAUGAGUUUGCGUAAGAUUAGGUAGUUGGUAGUUUAAUAGACUACCAAGCCGACUAUCUUUAGCUGGUUUGAAAGAAUGAUCAGCCACAUUGGGACUGAGACACGGCCCAAACUUUUUUAAAGGCAGCAGUGGGGAAUUUUGGACAAUGAGCGAAAGCUUGAUCCAGCAAUACCAAGUGAGUGAAGAAGGCUAAUUAGGUUGCAAAGCUCUUUCAUUAAGGAGGAAAAUGACAGUACUUAAAAAAGAAGUUCCGGCUAAUACCCGUGCCAGCAGCCGCGGUAAUACGGGAGGAGCGAGCAUUAUUCGGAAUGAUUAGGCGUAAAGGGUUUGUAGGUGGUUUUUUAAGUUGAAAAAAACAAAUUAAAGCUCAACUUUAUAAAUUUUUUCAAAACUAGAAAACUUGAGUAUAAAUAGAGGAUAAUGGAAUUUCUAUUGGAGGGAUAAAAUAUGUUGAUAAUAGAAGGAAGACCUAAAGCGAAGGCAAUUAUCUGGGUAUAUACUGACACUGAAAAACGAAAGCUUGGGUAGCGAACGGGAUUAGAUACCCCGGUAGUCCAUGCUGUAAACGAUGAGUGCUCAUAUUUAGAAUUUUUAGAUAUUA